UACGUAGGGGGCAAGCGUUGUCCGGAAUCAUUGGGCGUAAAGAGCGCGUAGGCGGCCCAGUCAGUCCGCUCUGAAAGUCAGGGGCUCAACCCCUGAAUGCGGGUGGAUACUGCUGGGCUAGAGUCCGGAAGAGGCGAGUGGAAUUCCUGGUGUAGCGGUGAAAUGCGCAGAUAUCAGGAGGAACACCGAUGGCGAAGGCAGCUCGCUGGGACGGUACUGACGCUGAGACGCGAAAGCGUGGGGAGCAAACAGG
rnacentral:rRNA from 1 species